rnacentral:rRNA from 1 species
UAGUUGGUGAGGUAAAGGCUCACCAAGGCGACGAUCUGUAGCGGGUCUGAGAGGAUGAUCCGCCACACUGGAACUGAGACACGGUCCAGACUCCUACGGGAGGCAGCAGUGGGGAAUUUUGGACAAUGGGCGCAAGCCUGAUCCAGCCAUGCCGCGUGAGUGAAGAAGGCCUUCGGGUUGUAAAGCUCUUUCAGUCGGGGAGAAAACGCAUGGGUUAAUACCCUGUGUGGAUGACGGUACCGGAAUAAGAAGCACCGGCUAACUACGUGCCAGCAGCCGCGGUAAUACGUAGGGUGCGAGCGUUAAUCGGAAUUACUGGGCGUAAAGCGUGCGCAGGCGGUUUGUUAAGAUAGGCGUGAAAUCCCCGGGCUCAACCUGGGAACUGCGUUUAUGACUGGCAAGCUAGAGUAUGGCAGAGGGGGGUGGAAUUCCACGUGUAGCAGUGAAAUGCGUUGAGAUGUGGAGGAACACCGAUGGCGAAGGCAGCCCCCUGGGCCAAUACUGACGCCCAUGCACGAAAGCGUGGGUAGCAAACAGGAUUAGAUACCCUGGUAGCCCACGCCCUAAACGAUGUCAACUAGGUGUUGGGAGGGUAAAACCUUUUAGUACCGGAGCUAACGCGUGAAGUUGACCGCCUGGGGAGUACGGCCGCAAGGUUAAAACUCAAAGGAAUUGACGGGGACCCGCACAAGCGGUGGAUGAUGUGGAUUAAUUCGAUGCAACGCGAAAAACCUUACCUACCCUUGACAUGUCCGGAAGCCCUUAGAGAUUUGGGUGUGCUCGAAAGAGAGCCGGAACACAGGUGCCGCAUGGCUGUCGUCAGCUCGUGUCGUGAGAUGUUGGGUUAAGUCCCGCAACGAGCGCAUCCCUUGUCGUUAAUUGCCAUCAUUUAGUUGGGCACUUUAACGAGACUGCCGGUGACAAACCGGAGGAAGGUGGGGAUGACGUCAAGUCCUUAUGGCCCUUAUGGGUAGGGCUUCACACGUCAUACAAUGGUCGGUACAAAGGGUCGCCAACCCGCGAGGGGGAGCCAAUCCCAGAAAGCCGAUCGUAGUCCGGAUCGUAGGCUGCAACUCGCCCGCGUGAAGUCGGAAUCGCUAGUAAUCGUGGAUCAGCAUGUCACGGUGAAUACGUUCCCGGGUCUUGUACACACCGCCCGUCACACCAUGGGAGCGGGUUCCGCCAGAAGUAGGUAGCCUAACCGCAAGGAGGGCGCUUACCACGGCGGGGUUCGUGACUGGGGUGAAGUCGGAACAAGGUA